rnacentral:rRNA from 1 species
GAUGAACGCUGGCGGCGUGCCUAAUACAUGCAAGUCGAGCGAACAGACGAGGAGCUUGCUCCUUCGACGUUAGCGGCGGACGGGUGAGUAACACGUAGGUAACCUCCCUAUAAGACUGGGAUAACUUCGGGAAACCGGAGCUAAUACCGGAUGAUAUUUCGAACCGCAUGGUUCGAUAGUGAAAGAUGGCUUUGCUAUCACUUAUAGAUGGACCCGCGCCGUAUUAGCUAGUUGGUAAGGUAACGGCUUACCAAGGCAACGAUGAGUAGCCGCCCUGAGAGGGUGAUCGGCCACCCUGGAACUGAGACACGGUCCAGACUCCUACGGGAGGCAGCAGUAGGGAAGCUUACGCCAUGGGCGAAAGCCUGACGGUGCAACGCCGCGUGGGUGAUGAAGGUCUUCGGAUCGUAAAACUCUGUUAUUAGGGAAGAACAAACGUGUAAGUAACUGUGCACGUCUUGACGGUACCUAAUCAGAAAGCCCCGGCUAACUACGUG